CAAUGUGAACGUUACCAAACUGUUGCCUCGGCGGGGUCACGCCCCGGGUGCGUCGCAGCCCCGGAACCAGGCGCCCGCCGGAGGAACCAACCAAACUCUUUCUGUAGUCCCCUCGCGGACGUAUUUCUUACAGCUCUGAGCAAAAAUUCAAAAUGAAUCAAAACUUUCAACAACGGAUCUCUUGGUUCUGGCAUCGAUGAAGAACGCAGCGAAAUGCGAUAAGUAAUGUGAAUUGCAGAAUUCAGUGAAUCAUCGAAUCUUUGAACGCACAUUGCGCCCGCCAGUAUUCUGGCGGGCAUGCCUGUCCGAGCGUCAUUUCAACCCUCGAACCCCUCCGGGGGAUCGGCGUUGGGGAUCGGGACCCCUCACACGGGUGCCGGCCCCUAAAUACAGUGGCGGUCUCGCCGCAGCCUCUCCUGCGCAGUAGUUUGCACAACUCGCACCGGGAGCGCGGCGCGCCCACGUCCGUAAAACACCCAACUUUCUGAAAUGUUGACCUCGGAUCAGGUAGGAAUACCCGCUGAACUUAAGCAUAUCAAUAA
rnacentral:rRNA from 1 species